rnacentral:sRNA from 2 species
AAACAAGUUAUGCCGAAUCUCUUUUAUAGAGUACGGGGGAAUACAUUUUUUGGGGUGAAGCUACUUUUGUAGCUGGGGAACUCCCCCCUAACCCGACAGCUAACCUCGGAGGCAAAGGAGGAAUA